rnacentral:rRNA from 1 species
UACGGGCGGAACAAGUGUUAUUCAAAAUGAUUGGGCGUAAGGUGCAUGUAGGCUGUCGAUAAAGUUUGAAUAUAAUGACUUUGGGCGACCAGAGUAGACAAAAAUACUGAUCGACUGGAGUAUCGUAGAGGAUAGUGGAACUUCUAGGGAAGAGAUUAAAUUCAUAGAUCCUAGAAAGAACAUCGAUUGCCGAGGCAGCUAUCUAGACGAGUACUGACGCUGAGAUGCGAAAGCAUGGGGAGCAAACAGG